rnacentral:rRNA from 1 species
GUAAUCCUACGGGGCGCAGCAGUGGGGAAUAUUGCACAAUGGGGGAAACCCUGAUGCAGCGACGCCGCGUGGGUGAAGAAGUACUUCGGUACGUAAAGCCCUAUCAGCAGGGAAGAAAAUGACGGUACCUGACUAAGAAGCCCCGGCUAACUACGUGCCAGCAGCCGCGGUAAUACGUAGGGGGCAAGCGUUAUCCGGAUUUACUGGGUGUAAAGGGAGCGUAGACGGCAGUGCAAGUCUGAAGUGAAAGGCGGGGGCCCAACCCCCGGACUGCUUUGGAAACUGGGCUGCUGGAG